AAAUAUUUGGAUUUUGACCCAAAUUAUUUUCCUUUAAAAUAUUUUGCUGGGACAUAAUAAUUUUUUGAAAUUUUUGUGUUAAAUCAAAAAUGUUCUCCAAAGAAGGACACAAUUCACAAAAAGAUGGACAAAUUGAAUCGUGAAAAAUUUACCUGAGAUAUGCAGUAUACACCAAUACUAAGAAUAGCAAGCAUAAAAGAUAAUAUAUAUAGAUUAGGGGCAUCCAGAGUUCAAUUAGAUUCAGGACACAUUAUUCAGAGGUCAUUGAUUCUUAUAGAAAUUAAUGGGCACAUUCAAGCAAUUACGCUUAAAGAAAUAAGUAGAAACAAGUAAAAACAGUAAGUUCGGCCGGGCCGAACUUUGAAUACCCUCCACCAUUUGGAAAGAAUUAGAAAUUUUUCAAAAAAAAUUUCAUUGAAAAUUCUGUUAAAAUCUUUAAAAUACUUAAUAUCGAAAGGUGCCGAUAUAUGGUGGGAUAUACGAUGUUGUGGACCUUUAUAUAAAAAAAUCUAUGUCUGGGUGUAAAGUACUCACCAGGAACCCCUUGUGUGGAUUUUCAGAUAAUUCCAUUGGGAAAUAUAGCUAAAAUCAUCAAAAUAACGAAUAUCGGGGCUACCGUUAUAUGGGGGCUAUACGAUAUCGUUAACCUAAAUAGAGAACUCUAUAUAAGGGGUUAAAGUGCUCACAAAGAACCCCUUGUGUGGAAUUUCAGACAAUUCCAUUGAAAAAUAUGGUUGAAAUCAUCAAAAUGUCGAAUAUAGGGGGUACCGUCACAUGGGGUAUAUACGAUAUCGUAGACCUAUAGCGACAAUUCUCUUUCAGGGGGUGAAAUACUCAUAAGGGACUCCUUGUGUGGAAUUUCAGACAAUACCGUUGAAAAUUUGGGUAAAAUCAUCAAAAUACCCCACCCUCGAGGGGGGUACUCCGACAAACACAGGAGGGUAACCGGCACCGGGAGAACCAGAACGUCCUUUGUACCGCUAAAUUUGCCGCUUUAUAUAUAUCCUUACAAGAGCUGUUAAAUAUAAGUAAACCCCAAUCAAUUCUGAAUAAAAUAAAUAUAUUUGCUUAAAAACCUAACAACUUGCGUUUUUACUCUCUCGUGGCAGAACCUAGAUCCCGCGAGCGUACCUCAGCACGAAGAAGGGAUUUUUUUUUUUAACUUAUUCAAAAACAGAAUAUCGGAAAUUAUUGAAAAGUGGGUUAUGAGCGAUGACGCCAUGUUGACUCAUGCUGGAGUAGUUCAUGAUGGAGAAAACCCUUUCACUAGAGUUAACGGCGUUAAAAUAUUAUUUACGCCGUAGAGCGAAUUUGACGCCGUCAAUUAACAUAGGUCAUCACAUUGAAAAGCAGAGGAGUCUGAAAGGUGUUUUUUCACACACACACCCACAACCCAACUGUAAACAUCCAAACAAUUCCCGAAAUUCCAACAGAGCAACCAGUAAAUUGGGUUACUGUUGGAUUCCUUGCUCUGACUUGAGUUAGUCUUUUCAAAGUCGAUCGCCGCGCCGUAUAUUUUUCUCCCCUCCGUAUAUUUAAAGUUGAGUAUUCCCAAAAGUCAAUAAUGGACAAUCCCACCCAACCAUUGCGUACGAAGGCUUUUUACAAGCACCAAUACCAGCUUGUGGAGUAGCUCAAAUCCUGUUCGGUUGCGUUCACAAGGUUGACAGAGAAGGAAACGGAUGUCCUGCGGGAAAAAAAACGCCGGGUCCACACCCGCCCCUAAGCCAUCCAAAAGGGCCAACACCACCGAACCCAAAAGAGGAGGUCCCACAACCCAAAAAAGACACGACGUGAAGUAUCAUCGUCCACACCGGUAGUAGUCGAGACUAUCGUCAUCUCAUCUGACCAUGAGGUACCGUCUCCCCGCCACGAAGAGCACCUGCGGUGCACGAUUACCCAAUCACCCCUCCUCCUACGGUGUCACCCAUGGCAGCCAGAUACACCCUAACCGAGUUACCACCGACUUCAGGUCGCACCCUUUUCAUUGACAUGGGAUUUCCACUGACGCCCGGACGUAACAUGUGCUUGGUUCAGUCCCCCCGGCAUGCACCGGUCUCGCAUUCGGAAACCGAAUACGGCCAAUCACAUAUAAAUCGCCGAUUGUAGCAAGAACGAAGUCAAAAGCCCUUGGGUUCUUCAGAAAUUAACCCUUGAGGUGUUUGAAGCCCUUGGGUUUUUGGGAAUUAACCCCUUGAGGUGUCGUAAAUACCUUCGGGUCCCGUAAAUACCUUCACCCCUUAAGGUAUCGUAGAGCCCUUGAGUUCUUCCGGAAUUAACCCCUUGAUGUGUCGCAAAGCCCUUCGGGUCUCUUCGUUUUAACCUCUUGAGGUGUCAAAAGCCCUUGGGUUACUCAGAAAUUAUCCCCUUCAGGUGUUUAAGCCCUUGGGUUCUUCUUUAACAACCCCAUUGAGGUGUUCAAGCCCUUGGGGUAUCACCGUUCAACCCAUUGAGAUGUCUAAAGACCUUGGUUUCCACGUUAUUCAAUCCCUCGAGGUGGGGUACUCCGACAAACACAGGAGGGUAACCGGCACCGGGAGAACCAGAACGUCCUUUGUACCGCUAAAUUUGCCGCUUUAUAUAUAUCCUUACAAGAGCUGUUAAAUAUAAGUAAACCCCAAUCAAUUCUGAAUAAAAUAAAUAUAUUUGCUUAAAAACCUAACAACUUGCGUUUUUUACUCUCUCGUGGCAGAACCUAGAUCCCGCGAGCGUACCUCAGCACGAAGAAGGGAUUUUUUUUUUAACUUAUUCAAAAACAGAAUAUCGGAAAUUAUUGAAAAGUGGGUUAUGAGCGAUGACGCCAUGUUGACUCAUGCUGGAGUAGUUCAUGAUGGAGAAAACCCUUUCACUAGAGUUAACGGCGUUAAAAUAUUAUUUACGCCGUAGAGCGAAUUUGACGCCGUCAAUUAACAUAGGUCAUCACAUUGAAAAGCAGAGGAGUCUGAAAGGUGUUUUUUCACACACACACCCUCAACCCAACUGUAAACAUCCAAACAAUUCCCGAAAUUCCAACAGAGCAACCAGUAAAUUGGGUUACUGUUGGAUUCCUUGCUCUGACUUGAGUUAGUCUUUUCAAAGUCGAUCGCCGCGCCGUAUAUUUUUCUCCCCUCCGUAUAUUUAAAGUUGAGUGUGUACCAUUGACUAUACCUUCAGCUUUGUACGGAAUGUCGGAUACGAUAGUGUGCAAAUACACUGAGGUGUAUUUGUUCUUUUGUCUUCUGGCUUCCAGACCCAAGUGUCGUAAGGCGGGUGAAGGACUGAUCUGCGACCUAGUGUACAAUAGUUUCUUGGCCCGAGCCAAAGUGCGAACGGUUACUGCUUCACGGCGAAAGAAGAAUUGCACUAAUGGCCAAAGACAGGUGACAGCUACGGAUGCUCAGACAAUCACUAGAGCGAGUCUAGAAGAUUGGACGCCUGUUCGGAUGAAAAAAAAAAAAAACAGACGGGGUUCCGAACUGUACCAUUAUCAAAUAUUCUAGCCGAGACUUAUAGAGGGACUACCGUCAGCGCUUCAGGAUUAAACGUAAGAUGUUUUAAUUCAAUUUCAUAGAAACAGCUCCCUUUUUUAUAAACGUAAAUAUUGUAUUUUAUUACAAAUUUUAACCAAACAACUUUGUAAGUAUGGCUUGAGACGGACAUUUUAUACCCAUUUUUAAACACUCCACCAUACUAUGGAGGGUAUAUUAACUUUGCCAUUCCGUUUGUAAAUACUCAUGUCAGACCCAACAAAGUAUAUAUAUUCUUGAUCAGCGAAAAUUUCUUAGUCGAUUUAGCGAUGUCUGUCUGUCUGUGGUAAUCACGCUAUCUUUCGAAAGAAUUGAGAUAGAAGGCUAAAAUUUUGCACACCUGUUUAUUUUUCCAGUAGGCAGGUAAGCAGUUAAUUUCGGGCCAUGUUGGUCUACGUUUUCAAAUAGCCCCAUAUAACAGAACCUUUCAAUUUUCGGUAUUUUGAUGAUUUUAGAUACAUUAUUCACCGGAAUUGUUUCAAAUUUGGUAUUUGAAGUUCGUAAUGGAUACUACAGCCUAAGACAGAAAAUUGUCUAUGCAGGUCCACGUUUUCGUAUAGCCCCCGUAUAAUGGUACCUCCCAAUAUUCAGUAUUUUGACGAUUUUAGGGACAUUAUUACAGAAAUUGUUUCAAAUUACGUAUUUAGAGUUCGUAAUGGGAAGUACAGUCUGUGACAGAAAAUUGUCUAUGCAGGUCCAAGACUUCGAUUAGGAUUAUUUCUUCUUUGACUGGAGAAAUGUAUCAACCUUUACCCAUACACUCAUAAAAAAGAACUAUCCUACAGCUAGGGAAUAAUAAACAAGUAAAAAAGCUGUAAGUUCGGCCGGGUCUUUUAAUACCCUCCACCAUUUGGUACAAAUUUGGCAAUUUCCAAAAAAAUAAAAUAAAUAAAUAAAUAAAAAAAUAAAAUAAAAAAAAUCCUUUAAAAAUUCUGUUAAAAUCUUAAAAAUACCGAAUGUCUAUACGACGACGUAUACAUGCAUAGGCAACUUUUGUCAUAAGUUAUUACAACAUUUAAAUGCGAAACAUGAAGAAAAAUUUGUUUAUAAUGUAGCUAAAAUCAUCAAAAUACCGAAUAUAGGGGGUUCCGUUAUAUGGGGGCUAUACCAAGACGUGGACCUGCACAGACAAUUUUCUGGCAUGGGCUGAAGUAUCCAUUACGAACUUCAAAUGCGAAAUUUAAAACAAUCCCGGUAAAUAAUGUCGCUAAAAUCAUCAAAAUACCGAAUAUCGGGGGGUACGGUAUAUGGGGCCUAUACGAAGACGUGGACCUACAUGGUCCAUUUUCUGUUUUCUGCUGCAGUAUCUAUUACGAACUUCAAAUACCAAAUUUGGAACGGUUCCGUUAAAUAAUGUCGCUAAAAUCAUCAAAAUACCGAAUAUCGGGGGGUACGGUAUAUGGGGGCUAUACGAAGACGUGGACCUACAUGGUCCAUUUUCUGUUUUCUGCUGCAGUAUCUUUUACGAACUUCAAAUACCAAAUUUGGAACGGUUCCGUUAAAUAAUGUCGCUAAAAUCAUCAAAAUACCGAAUAUCGGGGGGUACCGUUAUAUGGGUGCUAUACGAAGACGUGGACCUGCACAGAUAAUUUUCUGUCUUAGGCUGUAGUAUCCAUUACGAACUUCAAAUGCCAAAUUUGAAACAAUUCCGGUGAAUAAUGUCGCUAAAAUCAUCAAAAUACCGAAUAUCGAGAGGUACCGUUAUAUGGGGGCUAUAUGAAAACUUGGACCUACAUGACCCAUUUACGAACUUAACCUGCCUACUGGAAAAAUAUACAUGUGUGCAAAAUUUUAGCCUUCUAUCUCAAUUCGUUCAAAAGAUAGCGUGAUUACAACAGACAGACAGACAGACAGACAGACGGACAGACAGACAGACAGACACACAGACAGACAGACGGAUAUGGCUAAAUCGUCUUAGAAUUUUACGCUGAUCAAGAAUAUAUAUACUUUGUUGGGUCUGACGUGAGUAUUUCGAGGAGUUACAAACGGAAUGACAAAAUUAAUAUACCCUCCAUAGUAUGGUGGAGGGUAUAAAAACACUUAGUAAGUAGAUAUUCAGGUUAGUGCUCUUAAUAUUAUAUCUUAAAUAAUACUAAUAAAAAUGUCUCCAAUUCAGGCAAUACUUUCAACUUAAUUCAACUGGAUCUUCCGGCACUCUUGCGAAUUUUGAGUGUACCAUUGACUAUACCUUCAGCUUUGUACGGAAUGUCGGAUACGAUAGUGUGCAAAUACACUGAGGUGUAUUUGUUCUUUUGUCUUCUGGCUUCCAGACCCAAGUGUCGUAAGGCGGGUGAAGGACUGAUAUGGCCAAAGACAGGUGACUGCUACGGAUGCGCAGACAUUAACUAGAGCGGUAAAACCGGAGUGCUUCAAUUUGUAAUCUUAUUUCGAGUUCUUCUUUGCCUGAAGAAAUGUAUCAACCUUUACCCAUACACUCAUGAAGAAAGAGCUGUCAUACAGCUAGUAUAAACUUGGGAAUAAUAAAAGACACUUAGUAAGUAGAAAUUCAGGCAAUACUUUCUUCCGGCACUCUUGCGAAUUUUGGUCCAACAUAAUAACAUUUCACUAAUUCAUAGUUCUUCUUUGCCUGAAGAAAUGUAUCAACCUUUACCCAUACACUCAUGAAGAAAGAGCUGUCAUACAGCUAGUAUAAACUUGGGAAUAAUAAAAGACACUUAGUAAGUAGAAAUUCAGGCAAUACUUUCUUCCGGCACUCUUGCGAAUUUUGGAUAUGGCUGCCUACUUGCCUACUCAAAUCUGGAGAAGAGCCGAACGCAGCCCCAGCCCUAGCACUGCCACUCGCGAAUAGUAUGCAGCUCAAACAGACCAACCCGCCGAGACGAAAUGAGACCCACUUCCACUGACAUAAGACAAAGAAGCCGAUCAAGUACCCGAACCAAUCCCCGCUUUGAGCGACCAUGUUUCUGAAUGUUCUCGUGUGGGUUAUGUCAAGAGGACCAUGCCUUAAGUUCUUGCAACAGAUUUCGCAACCAGACUCCCUUUCAAAAAUACCAAACGGUUGAGCGGAGCGACUACUGCCGAAAUUGUCUCACGCGUGGUCAUUUGUUCCUCCUAACCGGCUGCCGACGAUACAAAAAUCAGAAUCAUAAUUUUAUUCAAAGGGCAUCUCAACUGGAGGAGGCAGCAAUCAACGUCGAGGCAAUUACCACUCCAGCCUUUGCAUGGGAUUUAGUUUUCGUACCAACGGCCAUGGUGCCAAUAACUGCGGGAGGGUUCGAGGGGUUUACGAAGUUACGGGCCAUCAUCGGCCUAUCAGCAACAAUGUCCAAAAUCUCUUACGCUGCUUUCCGACGGAUGGGUCUGCCGUCUCCCACCUACAAAGGAGAACGUUUCAAAACUUUCAUGAUUUCACCCCGUCGACCAAAUAGUACUUGAUCCUUAAAAGUCAACGCCAUUAUUAUUGACGACCUUCCAAGAUGGCUAUAUUAAGACUCAAUUCUAGAGAAUCCCACCAUCAGCUUUACCAACCGUGCUUUAGCAGACCCUGAGGUAACACAACUGUCGAUGUAGAACUGGGUGCCGAUACCUAUGCAGCAAUUCGAAAAGAUGGGUGCACUGAUGCCUGUAUAGGAGACGUAAAAACCUGCAACUCGGAACUGGGCUAUUUAUUUUCUGGUCCCAUCAAAAAUCAGUCAUGGAACUAGAUAUUUUACACGCCUUAUGAGGGGGCAGAAAAUGUUGAUAAUUUGUACUGCGCUCACUAGAAUUAACGGAGCUAAAAUAUGAUAUAAGAAUGUAUAGGUGAACUAAAAUUGGAAGUGAAAUUAGCUAAAAUAUUGAAUUUUCCCUACUCAAAUCUAUAUUAAACUAAACUUAGGCUAAAAUAAAUAAAUAAAACUGAAAUAAACAUUUAAAAACUAACAAAAUAAACUGCCUACUUUUUGAGGGAAAAAGGGAACAAAUGUAAGUCAAAAACACUUUCAAUACAGGCAUUAUUUGUUUAAGUAUAGGUGUGAGUACAAAAGCAGCUUAAAGUCUUCGCAUAGCAUAUUGUGUGACAUAUCACUCGACUGCUUCAGCCGUUUUUCCCUAUAAUUUGACAUGCCUAGCCCUGAUGCCAAGCAGCUUAUGUACUCACACCUUAACUAGCAUAUAAAGAACACCUAUUGAUAUUUAUUUGCGGAAUCACUGUAAUCAUACCACUCAAUUGGCUAGACAUUUCCGAAGAUGCUUCUACUAAGACCCUUGGAAUUCGAUGGAAUAUCUCAGGCGAUUAUUUUUCUUUCACACCACCUGCAAUGGAAAAUAAAACUGUAUCUUCAAAACGAGAGGUUUUAUCAAGGAUAGCCAAAUUGUUUGAGCCACCGGUGGUUGUUGUAGCUAAGCUAAUAAUGCAACAAAUCUGGCUAGACAAAAUUGACUGGGAUGAUCAAUUAAAGCCAAUAACUCAGAUGAACUGGAACAAUUUUGUGAGAAAUAGCAAAGAUAUUGAAUAUCUCAGAGUUUCUCGAUGGAUUCAAUACACGCUAGAUGGUUCUGUAGAGAGUCAUGGAUGUGACUCGUCGGAAAACUCGUAUGGAGACACUCUAUAUAUUAGGAUCAAAAUACUGACCAUAAGACACAUACAUUCUUAUUAGCAGCAAAGACUCGUGUCGCUCCUAUUAAAAAACUAUCAAUACACAGACUCGAGUUAUGCAGGGCAGUAUUACUAUCAAAAUUAGCAAAAUCCAUUGUAACUAGCCUACAAAUAUCAAAAUAUUCGACACAAUUUUGGACCGAUUCUACCAUCGUCUUAGCAUGGUUAAAAAAGCCUCCUUGUCAUUGGAGCACAUUUGUUGGAAAUUGACUCUCGGAAAUUGCGGAUAUUGUUGGUCAAGAAAAAUGGAGACAUGUUGAUUCAGAAAAUAGUCCAGCUGAUAUUGCGAGCCGUGGAUGUUCGCCUGCAGAGCUAAAGAUUAGUGAUCUCUGGUGGCAGGGACCUCAAUGGCUCAGAAUGCCAAAAGACCAAUGGCCAUCACAUGAUUCCCUAAGUGAUACAAAUUUGGAAGCCAAAACGGCAAAAGUAAUGACUCUUUCCGUGGAAAGAGAUGACCAGUUAAAAAAUUCUCCUCUUUAGCUAAAGUUUAUCGAUCAUUCACAUAUGCUCUAAGACUCUGGAAAAAUACUGGAGCAAAUAGACAACAUCUUCGCACCUCAUCACAAGACCUUACAGCAGCUGAAAUCCAAGAUGGAAAACGAUCUUGCAUUAUUCGUACACAAAAACAAAUUCGUAUAUGCCGACGAAUACAACUCACUAAUAAACAAGUAAAAAAGCUGUAAGUUCGGCCGGGCCGAACUUUUAAUACCCUCCACCAUUUGGUACAAAUUUGGCAAUUUCCAAAAAAAAUAAAAUAAAUAAAUAAAUAAAAAAAUAAAAUAAAAAAAUCCUUUAAAAAUUCUGUUAAAAUCUUAAAAAUACCGAAUGUCUAUACGACGACGUAUACAUGCAUAGGCAACUUUUGUCAUAAGUUAUUACAACAUUUAAAUGCGAAACAUGAAGAAAAAUUUGUUUAUAAUGUAGCUAAAAUCAUCAAAAUACCGAAUAUAGGGGGUUCCGUUAUAUGGGGGCUAUACCAAGACGUGGACCUGCACAGACAAUUUUCUGGCAUGGGCUGAAGUAUCCAUUACGAACUUCAAAUGCGAAAUUUAAAACAAUCCCGGUAAAUAAUGUCGCUAAAAUCAUCAAAAUACCGAAUAUCGGGGGGUACGGUUAAUGGGGCCUAUACGAAGACGUGGACCUACAUGGUCCAUUUUCUGUUUUCUGCUGCAGUAUCUAUUACGAACUUCAAAUACCAAAUUUGGAACGGUUCCGUUAAAUAAUGUCGCUAAAAUCAUCAAAAUACCGAAUAUCGGGGGGUACGGUAUAUGGGGGCUAUACGAAGACGUGGACCUACAUGGUCCAUUUUCUGUUUUCUGCUGCAGUAUCUUUUACGAACUUCAAAUACCAAAUUUGGAACGGUUCCGUUAAAUAAUGUCGCUAAAAUCAUCAAAAUACCGAAUAUCGGGGGGUACCGUUAUAUGGGGGCUAUACGAAGACGUGGACCUGCACAGAUAAUUUUCUGUCUUAGGCUGUAGUAUCCAUUACGAACUUCUAAUGCCAAAUUUGAAACAAUUCCGGUGAAUAAUGUCGCUAAAAUCAUCAAAAUACCGAAUAUCGAGAGGUACCGUUAUAUGGGGGCUAUAUGAAAACUUGGACCUACAUGACCCAUUUGCGAACUUAACCUGCCUACUGGAAAAAUAUACAUGUGUGCAAAAUUUUAGCCUUCUAUCUCAAUUCGUUCGAAAGAUAGCGUGAUUACAACAGACAGACAGACAGACGGACAUGGCUAAAUCGUCUUAGAAUUUUACGCUGAUCAAGAAUAUAUAUACUUUGUUGGGUCUGACGUGAGUAUUUCGAGGAGUUACAAACGGAAUGACAAAAUUAAUAUACCCUCCAUAGUAUGGUGGAGGGUAUAAAAAGGGAACUCGUCUGUGACAGAAAAUUGUCUAUGCAGGUCCACGUCUCCGUUUUGGCCCCAUAUAUCAGUACCUCCCUAUAUUCGGUAUUUUGACGAGUUUAGGUACAAUACCCACCGAAAUUAUUUGAGAUGUGGUAUUUGAAGUUCGUAAUGGAUGCUACAGCUUGUGAAAGAAAUUUAUCUAUGCUGUUCCAGGUCUUCGCACAGCUCCGAUAUUACGGAACCUCCCUGUAUACGAUAUUUUGAUUAUUUUAGCUAUAUUUUUCACCGUUUAUUUCAAGUUUCGAAUUUGCUUAUGCUUAUGACAAACAAUGCCUAUGUACGUUGGGGUCCACGUCGUAAAUUCAACUGGAUCUUCCAGCACUCUUGCGACUUUUGGAUGAGUAUAGGAAAAAUUUAAAAUUAAGGUAGCUUUAAGUUAAGUUAGAAUUAUGAGCUUAUUUUAAAUAUUUUCGUGUAAACGUUUCGAGUUAAUAUUUUAUCUGGGAUCUCCGCUUUAUUUCAAACCUUUAAGGUAUUCUACCUCUUUGCUAAUAUAUGGUUUACCAUUAGCAGACACAAUUAAUUUUAGGGUUCCAAAUUUAUGAGAUACUUCACUUAUUAAAAAUUUUACUACAUUUCUCGAAUUUUCUUUGGCCAUGGCUCUUAGCAAGACAUAUUCUGGAAGGUGGACUACCAGAAUGAUAAUAAUUGUUGGAAAGGCUUUUCUUUAAUUGUUUCCGCUUCCAUAGGUGGACGAAGGGUCGAAUUAGUUGGUUUCGUCUCUUUGAAAAUUUUCCGAUUCUGUACAAAAUUUCUAACUUGCGUAUUCAGACUUGGACAGAAAAAAGUACUCUUUUACCCUCCGAGGUGUCUUGGGGAGAUCUCCAUGAGAGACUAGUAGUGGAUAGUGUGCUUUUUUCAAUAAUUUGCUGGGUCAUUUCACUGGGUACCCAUAACUUCAAGGCCAAACCUUCGUUAAGGGAAAUACCAUCGUAGAACUGAGUUUGUUUAUAUACAAAACCAUUAACCACAUUUAUAUCAGGAAGUUGUGAAGAAUUAUUUUCGAUUUUGUCUAUCAAGGCAACGUAUUUAUCUGUUUUAAAAGCUAAGGAAUCGAGGUCGAUUAAGGACUUCAACAGAAAAAUCUACUCCAUAUCAUACAUUUACAGAGUAUCAGGUACUAUGUUCUGGGUACUUUUAUGGUGCUCUACCUCAAAGAACAUGCCUGCAAAUGUAGACUCCGUCCGGCUAACCUUCCGCUCAGAUGUCGAUGAGACAUGAAAAAAACUAUUGUGGUCAGUUAUAACUGUGAAGUGCAUCAACUCAAUAUAUGACCAGGACUUUUUAAUGGUCAUCACCACCGCCAAACAUUCCCUCUUAGUCACAUAGUAAUAUCUCAUCGUCUCUUUGGAACAAUAUAGCUCCUAUUCCUAAGUUUGAGGCAUCACACUGAACGUUGAAGCGUUUGGUAAAGUCCGGGUGUGUUAGGACGGGGAUACUUAUAAGAGCUUCCUUCCUUUGUGAAUCGUUUUCCUUUUUUGAGGGUUUCGAGUCGCAAUGGUGACAAAGUCGACUAUAAAGCUUCGAUACCUCCCUGCGGUACCCAUUAAACUUCUAUCCUGCUUUACUAUCGUUUCCACUUUCGCUGGAUCAGUCUUCAGUUUGCUACCUCCAACAAUGUAUCCCAAAUAUCUUAGUUCUUUGAAACAGAACUUCGAGCUAAUGCUACUUAAAAUCAUCAGCUAACACAAAACAGCAGUGAGCGACUGAAACUUAAAUGAAAUUAGCUUUUACAUCAAAAUAGCUCAGCAUCAAAAAACCGGCACGGCUGCCAUUGUUUAACUCGUUUUUUUGCCAAAAAAAAGUUUUUUUUGAGUUCAGUGCUGCUUAUAAAAAUUCCACAUCGCUUGCUUAUAACAAUUCCACAUAAUAAUAAAAAACGAGAUAAAGGAACGCGAACCGAAUAAGAUCACCUUACACUGUGGCAAUCAAUUAAUGACACAAGUACUAAGUUCCGAAUUAUGGAUUUUUGGCUAAAGUCGGUAUUCAAACAAACCAUAUGAAAAUGUCGAAUCUGCUUAAUUUACAAAAAAAAAAAAAACAAACCCAAACUCAAAUAAUGGCUUCGCUACGGUCUGAACGUACUUUUCCUUCUCGACCCUUUACAAACACAGGGGUAGAUUUUGCAGGACCCUUUAAGAUUAAAAGUUAUUCAGGAGGAGCCUGCCUUAUUACAAAAGGGUAUGUGUGCCUGUUUGUUUGUUUCGCCACCGAGGCUAUACACUUAGAACCCACAAGCGAUUUGUCGACAUAUGCGUUUCUUGCCGCUUUUUCUAGGUUUAUAAGUCGGCGCGAUCGUCCGUCUUGUAUAUUUUCGGACAACGGACAACUUUGUGGGAGCGGUUGAUCUACUUAAACGAAAUAGAUUAGCUUUCAUGAAAAAUAUUUAAAAUAGAACGAUUCAAAACAACUUCACUCAAAAUCUUACUCCGAAAUUCAUUCCGCUUGGUGCUCAUUUAAAGUUCAUUUGCGAGUAUACCAAAAAUUAAUUUGACUUUUGAAGAAUUUACUACUAUUUUAUUCGCGACCCUUAAGUCCUGCUAGCGACGACCCAAAUGACCUUUCCCCUUUGACUCCUGGUCAUUUUUUAGUAGGAACAUCUAUUCUUACACCAGCUGAACCAGAUAUUUCAGAUACAGAUUUAAACUUAGACAAUCGGUGGAAAAGGCUCAAAGUUAUUUCACAAUAUUCUUGCAGCAGGUGGAAGAAUCUUCACGAACUUCACAGAAGAACUAAGUGUAAAUAUGAAAAAGAGAAUGUCAAAAAAGGAGAUUUUGUCGUCGUAAAAGAUUAUAGGUUGGGUCCGCAUGAAUGGAUGUUAGGUCGUAUUGAAAAAAACUUUUCCAGGUAGUGAUCAAAAUACCAGGGUUGUUGACAUACGGACACCAAGUGGCAACAUUAGCAGACCCAUAACAAAAAUUGUCAAAUUGUUUUGCGACUGACUAGACGUAUACAGUUCCAAAAAAAACUUGUACUCGCAUCUCGUUGUUUUUUAGAUAUGGCUGCCUACUUGCCUACUCAAAUCUGGAGAAGAGCCGAACGCAGCCCCAGCCCUAGCACUGCCACUCGCCGAAUAGUAUGCAGCUCAAACAGACCAACCCGCCGAGACGAAAUGAGACCCACUUCCACUGACAUAAGACAAAGAAGCCGAUCAAGUACCCGAACCAAUCCCCGCUUUGAGCGACCAUGUUUCUGAAUGUUCUCGUGUGGGUUAUGUCAAGAGGACCAUGCCUUAAGUUCUUGCAACAGAUUUCGCAACCAGACUCCCUUUCAAAAAUACCAAACGGUUGAGCGGAGCGACUACUGCCGAAAUUGUCUCACGCGUGGUCAUUUGGCUUCAGACUGUUCCUCCCUAACCGGCUGCCGACGAUACAAAUAUCAGAAUCAUAAUUUUAUUCAAAGGGCAUCUCAACUGGAGGAGGCAGCAAUCAACGUCGAGGCAAUUACCACUCCAGCCUUUGCAUGGGAUUUAGUUUUCGUACCAACGGCCAUGGUGCCAAUAACUGCGGGAGGGUUCGAGGGGUUUACGAAGUUACGGGCCAUCAUCGGCCUAUCAGCAACAAUGUCCAAAAUCUCUUACGCUGCUUUCCGACGGAUGGGUCUGCCGUCUCCCACCUACAAAGGAGAACGUUUCAAAACUUUCAUGAUUUCACCCCGUCGGCCAAAUAGUACUUGAUCCUUAAAAGUCAACGCCAUUAUUAUUGACGACCUUCCAAGAUGGCUAUAUUCAGACACAAUUCUAGAGAAUCCCACCAUCAGCUUUACCAACCGUGCUUUAGCAGACCCUGAGGUAACACAACUGUCGAUGUAGAACUGGGUGCCGAUACCUAUGCAGCAAUUCGAAAAGAUGGGUGCACUGAUGCCUGUAUAGGAGACGUAAAAACCUGCAACUCGGAACUGGGCUAUUUAUUUUCUGGUCCCAUCAAAAAUCAGUCAUGGAACUAGAUAUUUUACACGCCUUAUGAGGGGGCAGAAAAUUUUGAUAAUUUGUACUGCGCUCACUAGAAUUAACGGAGCUAAAAUAUGAUAUAAGAAUGUAUAGGUGAACUAAAAUUGGAAGUGAAAUUAGCUAAAAUAUUGAAUUUUCCCUACUCAAAUCUAUAUUAAACUAAACUUAGGCUAAAAUAAAUAAAUAAAGCUGAAAUAAACAUUUAAAAACUAACAAAAUAAACUGCCUACUUUUUGAGGGGAAAAGGGAACAAAUGUAAGUCAAAAACACUUUCAAUACAGGCAUUAUUUGUUUAAGUAUAGGUGUGAGUACAAAAGCAGCUUAAAGUCUUCGCAUAGCAUAUUGUGUGACAUAUCACUCGACUGCUUCAGCCGUUUUUCCCUAUAAUUUGACAUGCCUAGCCCUGAUGCCAAGCAGCUUAUGUACUCACACCUUAACUAGCAUAUAAAGAACACCUAUUGAUAUUUAUUUGCGGAAUCACUGUAAUCAUACCACUCAAUUGGCUAGACAUUUCCGAAGAUGCUUCUACUAAGACCCUUGGAAUUCGAUGGAAUAUCUCAGGCGAUUAUUUUUCUUUCACACCACCUGCAAUGGAAAAUAAAACUGUAUCUUCAAAACGAGAGGUUUUAUCAAGGAUAGCCAAAUUGUUUGAGCCACCGGUGGUUGUUGUAGCUAAGCUAAUAAUGCAACAAAUAUGGCUAGACAAAAUUGACUGGGAUGAUCAAUUAAAGCCAAUAACUCAGAUGAACUGGAACAAUUUUGUGAGAAAUAGCAAAGAUAUUGAAUAUCUCAGAGUUUCUCGAUGGAUUCAAUACACGCUAGAUGGUUCUGUAGAGAGUCAUGGAUGUGACUCGUCGGAAAACGCGUAUGGAGACACUCUAUAUAUUAGGAUCAAAAUACUGACCAUAAGACACAUACAUUCUUAUUAGCAGCAAAGACUCGUGUCGCUCCUAUUAAAAAACUAUCAAUACACAGACUCGAGUUAUGCAGGGCAGUAUUACUAUCAAAAUUAGCAAAAUCCAUUGUAACUAGCCUACAAAUAUCAAAAUAUUCGACACAAUUUUGGACCGAUUCUACCAUCGUCUUAGCAUGGUUAAAAAAGCCUCCUUGUCAUUGGAGCACAUUUGUUGGAAAUUGACUCUCGGAAAUUGCGGAUAUUGUUGGUCAAGAAAAAUGGAGACAUGUUGAUUCAGAAAAUAGUCCAGCUGAUAUUGCGAGCCGUGGAUGUUCGCCUGCAGAGCUAAAGAUUAGUGAUCUCUGGUGGCAGGGACCUCAAUGGCUCAGAAUGCCAAAAGACCGAUGGCCAUCACAUGAUUCCCUAAGUGAUACAAAUUUGGAAGCCAAAACGGCAAAAGUAAUGACUCUUUCCGUGGAAAGAGAUGACCAGUUAAAAAAUUCUCCUCUUUAGCUAAAGUUUAUCGAUCAUUCACAUAUGCUCUAAGACUCUGGAAAAAUACUGGAGCAAAUAGACAACAUCUUCGCACCUCAUCACAAGACCUUACAGCAGCUGAAAUCCAAGAUGGAAAACGAUCUUGCAUUAUUCGUACACAAAAACAAAUUCGUAUAUGCCGACGAAUACAACUCACUAAUAAACAAGUAAAAAAGCUGUAAGUUCGGCCGGGCCGAACUUUUAAUACCCUCCACCAUUUGGUACAAAUUUGGCAAUUUCCAAAAAAAAUAAAAUAAAUAAAUAAAUAAAAAAAUAAAAUAAAAAAUCCUUUAAAAAUUCUGUUAAAAUCUUAAAAAUACCGAAUGUCUAUACGACGACGUAUACAUGCAUAGGCAACUUUUGUCAUAAGUUAUUACAACAUUUAAAUGCGAAACAUGAAGAAAAAUUUGUUUAUAAUGUAGCUAAAAUCAUCAAAAUACCGAAUAUAGGGGGUUCCGUUAUAUGGGGGCUAUACCAAGACGUGGACCUGCACAGAAAAUUUUCUGGCAUGGGCUGAAGUAUCCAUUACGAACUUCAAAUGCGAAAUUUAAAACAAUCCCGGUAAAUAAUGUCGCUAAAAUCAUCAAAAUACCGAAUAUCGGGGGGUACGGUUAAUGGGGCCUAUACGAAGACGUGGACCUACAUGGUCCAUUUUCUGUUUUCUGCUGCAGUAUCUAUUACGAACUUCAAAUACCAAAUUUGGAACGGUUCCGUUAAAUAAUGUCGCUAAAAUCAUCAAAAUACCGAAUAUCGGGGGGUACG